rnacentral:rRNA from 1 species
AAACUCCUUUUCUGGGGGACGAAUAAGGUCAGUAGGUAAUGGCUGACCGAUGACGGUACCCCAGGAACAAGCGCCGGCUAACUUCGUGCCAGCAGCCGCGGUAAUACGAAGGGCGCAAGCGUUAUCCGGAAUUACUGGGCGUAAAGGGCGUCUAGGCGGUCGGUCAAGUCAGUCGUGAAAGUCCUUGGCUAAACUGAGGAAAGUCGACCGAUACUGAUCGGCUAGAGGGACGUAGAGGUAAGCGGAACUCUCGGAGUAGCGGUGAAAUGCGUAGAGACCGAGAGGUACCCCGAUGGUGAAGACAGCUUACUGGGCGUCUCCUGACGCUGAAGCGCUAAGGCCAGGGGAGCGAAGGGGAUUAGAUACCCCCGUAGUCCUGGCUUCAAACUAUGUGGGCUUGGUGUCGGCUCCCGAUAGAGAGUCGUUGCCGGAGCUAACGUGUUAAGCCCACCGCCUGGGGAUUACGUCCGCAAGGAUGAAACUCAAAGGAAUUGACGGAA